AGGGCUGUAACCCAGUGGCAGAGUGCUUGCCUACCAUGCAAGAGGCACUGGGUUCCAUCCUCAGCACCACAU
rfam:Ictidomys tridecemlineatus contig010926, whole genome shotgun sequence.